rnacentral:miRNA from 1 species
ACUUUUAAAAUCAAUUAUUUAAGAACCGAUUUUGUAUGCAUACAAAAUCGGUUCUUAAAUAACCGAUUUUAAAAGU